AUUUAUAUAGUUUAAAUAAAACAAUUCAUUUUCAAUGAAUAAAUGAACCCAAGUUCUAUAAAUU
rnacentral:tRNA from 1 species